CCCAGACUCCUACGGGAGGCAGCAGUCGGGAAUAUUGCGCAAUGGAGGAAACUCUGACGCAGUGACGCCGCGUAUAGGAAGAAGGUUUUCGGAUUGUAAACUAUUGUCCACAGGGAAGAUAAAAGACUGUACCUGUGAAGAAAGCUCCGGCUAACUACGUGCCAGCAGCCGCGGUAAUACGUGGGGAGCGAGCGUUGUCCGGAAUUACUGGGUGUAAAGGGAGCGUAGGCGGGGAUGCAAGUUGGAUGUUUAAACUAUCGGCUCAACCGGUAAUUGCAACCAAAACUGCAACUCUUGAGUGAAGUAGAGGCAGGCGGAAUUCCUAGUGUAGCGGUGAAAUGCGUAGAUAUUAGGAGGAACACCAGUGGCGAAGGCGGCCUGCUGGGCUUUAACUGACGCUGAAGCACGAAAGCGUGGGUAGCAAACAGGAUUAGAUACCCUGGUACG
rnacentral:rRNA from 1 species